UGAGUUAAGUAUUAAGUGUAUAUAUCAUUUACAAUGAUAAGGUCUACUAAAGUAGAAUUCAUAAAUAUAAGGUUAUACUGUAAAGGUUAUAUUAAUUAUUAAAGUUUAAAUACCUUUUGCAUAAUGGUUUAACAAAUAUAUAAUAAAUUUAUUUUACCCGAAGUUAGAGGAUCUAAUUUUUGUAAGUUUAUAGAAUAUAAUUUAAUAAUGUUUCAAAAUUAUAAUUAUAACAUAAAUUAGUGGUGAAAGGCCUAUCAAUUCUAAAAAUAUCUGGAAUAAUUUUAAAUGUAUUUAGUACAGAAUAAAAUUUAAUUAAAAAAAUGUUAAGAUUUUUUUAAUAAAGAAUUAUAAUUAUAUAAAAACUACGGGUUAACCCUCGAUUAAAUUAAUUUAUUAAUAAUUAUAAAUUAUUUAAAUCUUUAUUAUAAAAUUAUAUUUUAAAUAUCCUAUUUUAAAUUUAAUUAUGUUAAAAUUAGUAUAAAAUUUAAUAUUUACUUAAGGAACUCGGCUAAUUAUUAUUCAUCUGUUUAUCAAAAACAUAGUCUUAUGAAUAAAUAUAAGAUACUACCUGCCCAAUGAUUAUUUAAAUGGCCGCAGUACUUUGACUGUGCUAAGGUAGCAUAAUAAAUUGACUCUUAAUUAGGGCCUUGAAUGAAAGGAAUUAUGGAUAAUUUCUGUCUCAAAGUAAAUAAAUUUAAAGUUACUUAAAAGGUGAAAAUUCCUUUAAUUCCAUAAAAUAGACGAGAAGACCCUAGGAGUUAUUUUUUUUGUUGGGGCGACAGUAUAGCAAUAAUAACCUAUAUACAUAUUAAUUUUAAUAAAACGAUAAAAUUUUAAUAAUAAAUUAACUACCCUAGGGAUAACAGCAUAAUUUAAAAAUUUUAAGUUUGUGACCUCGAUGUUGGA
rnacentral:rRNA from 1 species